GUUUUGCGUAAGCGAUUGCAGUGACAUCCUUUUAUUUUUAUGGAAGACAAACUGUCUUGGGUGUAAUUCUGUUAUUUUAAGCGAUGCCCCAAAGUAAUACUUCCAUAAAAAUAAAAGAUAUAACGGAAAGCGCGACCCUUU
rnacentral:sRNA from 1 species